CUGCGGCAAUGUUCUUUGAACAUUGGGUAGGGGAGCGUUCUGUAAGCCGUUGAAGGUGUGUUGUAAAGCAUGCUGGAGGUAUCAGAAGUGCGAAUGCUGACAUGAGUAACGACAAGGGGGGUGAAAAACCUCCCCGCCGGAAGACCAAGGGUUCCUGUCCAACGUUAAUCGGGGCAGGGUAAGUCGACCCCUAAGGCGAGGCCGAAAGGCGUAGUCGAUGGGAAACGGGUUAAUAUUCCCGUACUUCUUACAAUUGCGAUGGGGGGACGGAGAAGGCUAGGUGGGCCUGGCGACGGUUGUCCAGGUUCAAGUGCGUAGGCUGAGUGUUUAGGUAA
rnacentral:rRNA from 13 species